UUAAUACCAGAGGAUGGAGGGUCUUCCUUUCCACUGGUGGCUCCUCUAGCCAGAGGGCUCUAAGGGGCGGAUGCUAUUGCUGCUUUUCCAGGGCACAGGGCAGUCAGGACGGAGCCUUAGCACACACCAGCUGGAGGCCGGCGUCCCUGCGCUUGGAAGUGGGUUCCCUGGCCACCGGGGUUGACCUCUCUCGCUAGCAGGGCCCACCCAGCUCACUCCCCGCGUCUUCCAUCCCCUCUAGGAUUCCCAUUGUCCCCUACUCCAGCACUAGGCAGGCACCCCCAGCCCACUGCGACUCCCACCACGAAGGACCCCAGCCCUCUCUCAGCCAACACGGCCCCGCCCACCGUCUCAGACAUCGUGCUUCUUCUGGUGGGCCAGGAGUCUCUCCUCGUCGUCGAAGGUCUGGCCACAGAUGGCACAGCAGAAGGCGCCGUCCCGGAUGUGGCUCUUGCGGUGGGUGAUGAGGUUGGACUUCUGGCUGAAGCUGCGGUCGCAGUCGGGACAGGCGUAGGGCCGCUCGCCCGUGUGGAUGCGCCGGUGCGACACCAGGUUGGACUUCUGGCUGAAGGCUUUGCCGCAGUCGGGGCAGACGUAGGGCUUCUCGCCGGUGUGGAUGCGCCGGUGCGCCGCCAGGUAGGGUUUGUGGCGGAAGGCCUUGCCGCAGUCGGGACACACGAAGGGCCGAUCGGGGGCGUGGUCGCGCCGAUGCGCCGCCAGAUGGCUGCCCUGGGAGAAGCGGCGGCCG
rnacentral:lncRNA from 1 species